AGAUUGGAGACUACAUAAGACUUUGACAGAUGGCGGGAAACCCUCAUGAACUGGAUAGAAGCCGGUAGAAGAAUGUCUGCGACUAAGCCGAGGGCCACUUGAGGAUUGGGUUGUUGAUGGUAAAACAGAUUGGAGACUACAUAAGACUUUGACAGAUGGCGGGAAACCCUCAUGAACUGGAUAGAAGCCGGUAAAUAGAUGGCCGUAAAACAGUGACUUUUGAUUCGUGGCGAGUUCUUUCUUACAUGUCGCGUGACCUAUCUUUUUUAUUGCUUAAAUCAAUUCGGCUUGGAAUGCUCUUCGAGAAAAGGUAUGGUUAUGAGGGUCUCUAUGCGCAAAAGUUUGACUUUAUUUUUCGUUAAAGUUAUUGCAUUUACAUUGAAUUUGUGUAGGAAAUCUUUUACUAUAUUGUAACCUCUAGAGUGUUAACAAGAUUUUACUAUAGCCAUAUAUAGCCAUAUGAGGAAAAAUGCCCCGCCCCUUGACAGAAAUUUUUUUUAAGCAAAGGUUACCAUUUUCAAACUCAUCCAAGAUAUCAUUGGGACAAAUCUUCUGACCAAGUUUCAUAAAGAUCGGAAAAUAAAUGUGGCCUCUAGAGUGUUAACAAGGUUUUACUAUAGCCAUAUAAGGAAAAAUGCCCCGCCCCCUGGUGGCCAUGUUUUUCAACCAACCGGCAUCAUUUUUACAUUCUUCCAAGAUAUUAUUGGGGUGAAUCUUCUGACCAAGUUUCAUGAAGAUUGGACAAUAAAUGUGGCCUCUAGAGUGUU